CACGCUGCUCGAGCAGGCGCUCGGCGGUUUCCAGAAUCGCCUGCUCACGUUCGUCGCCCGACGGCCUGC
rnacentral:tRNA from 1 species